UCCUUGGUGCCUGUCCGGUAGCUGGUCACUCUCGGGGGAAGGUCGUGUGCAGAAGGGCACAUGCGAUCACACAGAGACGGCGUUGCUGCGGCUUUGACCCGAUGGUGCACCCGAAAGAACACAGAGGGUGGAGGGGGAGAUCCAGGAAGUGGUCGCGGAGCAGAACCCCCUUUCACUUCAGUCAAAAAGCAGCCACAGAGAAGCUUUUACAAUGUAAACCAGAGUCUAUUACUUCUGUUCUCCAACUACUUCAGUGGCUAAAUUGGUACCAGUAGAGUGGGGUGCUGCCGUAGAUACUCAAAAAUGGGUAUGUGACUUUGGAACUGGGUAACAGGCAGGGUUUGGAACAGUUUGGAGGGCUCAGAAGAAGACAGGCAAAUGUGGGAAAGUUUGGAACUUCCUAGAGACUUGUUGAAUGGCUUUGCCCAAAAUGCUGAUAGCACUGUGGACAAUAAAGUCCAUAGGCUGAGGUGGUCUCAGACGGAAAUGAGGAACUUGUUGGGAACUGGAGCAAAGGGGACUCUUGUUAUGUUUUAGCAAAGAUACUGGCGGCAUUUUGCCCCUGCACGAGAUAUUUGUAGAACUUUGAACUUCAGAGAGAUGAUUUAGAGUAUCUGGCAGGAGAAAUUUCUAAGCAGCAAAGCAUUCAAGAGGUGACUUGGGUGCUGUUAAAGACAUUCAGUUUUAUAAGGGAAGCAGAGCAUAAAAGUUCGGAAAAUUUGCAGCCUGACAAUGUGAUAGAAAAGAAAAAUUCCCAUUUUCUGAGGAGAAAUUCAAGCUGGCUGCAGAAAUUUGCAUGAGUAACAGGAGCCAAAUGCUAAUUCCCAAGACAAUGGGGAAAAUGUCUCCAGGGCAUGUCAGAGGUCUUUAUGGCAACCCCUCCCAUCACAGGUCCAGAGGUAUCAGGAAAAAAUGGUUUUGUUGGCCAGGCCCGGGGUCCUCAUGCUGUGUGCAGCCUAGGGACUUGGUGCCCUGCAUCCCAGCCACUCCCAACCAUGACUGACGGGAGGCAAGGUAGAGCUUGGGCUGUAGCUUCGGGGAGUGCAAGCCCCAAGCCUUGACAGCUUCCAUGUGGUGUUGAGACUGCGAGUGCACAGAAGUCAAGAAUUGGGGUUUGGAAACCUUCGCCUAGAUUAAAGAGGAUGUGCGGAAAUGCCUGGAUGCCCAGUCAGAAGUUUGCUGCAGGAGCAGGGCCCUCAUGGAGAUCCUCUGCCAGGGCAGUGCAGAAGGGAAAUGUGGGGUCAGAGACCCCACACACAGUCCCUACUGGGGCACCACCUAGUGGAGCUGUGAGAAGAGGUCCUCCAGACCCCAGAAUGGUAGAUCCACCGACAGCUUGCACCGUGUACCUGGAAAAGCUGCAGACACUCAAUGCCAGCCCAUGAAAGCAGCUGAGAGGGAGGCUGUACCCUGCAAAGGUACAGGGGCAGAGCUGCCCAAGACCAUGGGAACCCACCCCUUCCAUCUGCGUGACCUGGAUGUGAGAUGUGGAGUCAAAGGAGAUCAUUUUGGAGCUUUAAGAUUUGACUGCCCCACUGGAUUUUGGACUCUCAUGGGCCUGUAGCCUCUUUGUUUUGACCAAUUUAUCCCAUUUGGAAUGGCUGUAUUUACCCAAUGCCUGUACCCCCAUUGUAUCUAGGAAGUAACUAACUUGCUUUGGAUUUUAUAGGCUCAUAAAUGGAAAGGACUUGCCUUGUCUCAGAUGAGACAUUAGACUGUGGACUUUUGAGUUAAUGCUGAAAUCAUUUAAGACUUUGAGGGACUGUUGGGAUGGUGUGAUUGGUUUUGAAAUGUGAGGACAUGAAAUUUGGGAGGGGCCAUGGGUGGAAUGAUAGGGUUUGGUUGUGUCCCCACCCAAAUCUCAUCCUGAAUUCCCAUGCGUUGUGGGAGGGACCCAGUGGGAGGUAACUGAAUCAUGGGGACAGGUCUUACCCGUGCUGUUCUUGUGAUAGUGAAUAAGUCUAACAGGAUCUGAUGGCUCUAUAAGGGGGAGUUUCUCUGCACAAGCUGUCUUUGUCUUUGCCUGCCAUCCACGUAAGACGUGACUUGCUCCUCAUUGCCUUUCGCCAUGAUUGUGAGGCCUCCCCAGCCAUGUGGAACUGUAAGUCCAUUAAACCUCUCUUUCUUUUGUAAAUUGCCUAGUCUCGGGUUUGUGAACAGACUAAUACAAUGGCUUUUCACCUUGCAGAAUAAAGUCCUACGAGAUCUUCAUGCUCUAGCUCCUGGCCAGGCCACCUCCUCAGGAGUUAGAUCACUUAUCCGUCUCUCCCUGGCCCACCCUUCUCUGUCACAUGGCUUCUUUGCUGACCCUGAUACACACCACACUUGUCUUCUCUACCUGGAAGUUGUAUUCCCCAUACCCACAUGGCUCACUUCUUCACUUCAUUCAAGUCUCUGCUCAGAUAUUAACCUCUUCAGAGAGCCCUUCCUUCACACACUGUCUUGCAUAGCAGCCUCCCCUACAAGUUGUCUUCUUUCUCCUUAACUUUUGUGAUGGUUAAUUUUAGGUGUCAGCUUGACUGGAUUAAAGAAUACCUAGAGAACUGGAAAGGCAUUAUUUGUUAGUGUGUCUGUGAGGGUAUUUCCAGAAGAGAUUGAUAUAUGACUGAAUGGACUAAGAGGGAACCAUCCGCCCUCAAUGUGCAGGUGGCUUGAAACAAAAACGGAAGAAAGGCAAAUUGGUCUUACUCUCUUGGAGCUGGAAUACACGCUUCCAUUCCUGCCCUUGGAUUUCAGGAUCCCAGGCUGUUGGGUCUCAGGACUCCAGGACCUACAUCAGCCUUUCCGUCACCGCUGGGGUUCUAAGGCCUUUGGGCUAAGAAUUAUAUCAUCAGCUUUCCUGAUUCUGAGGCUUUGGGACUUGGACUGAGCCAUGCUACCAGUAUCCCUGGGUCUCCAGCUUGC
rnacentral:lncRNA from 1 species